AGAUUGAACGCUGGCGGCAGGCCUAACACAUGCAAGUCGAGCGGUAGAGAGGUGCUUGCAUCUCUUGAGAGCGGCGGACGGGUGAGUAAUGCCUAGGAAUCUGCCUAGUGGUGGGGGAUAACGUUCGGAAACGGACGCUAAUACCGCAUACGUCCUACGGGAGAAAGCGGGGGACCUUCGGGCCUCGCGCCAUUAGAUGAGCCUAGGUCGGAUUAGCUAGUUGGUGAGGUAAUGGCUCACCAAGGCGACGAUCCGUAACUGGUCUGAGAGGAUGAUCAGUCACACUGGAACUGAGACACGGUCCAGACUCCUACGGGAGCAGCAGUGGGGAAUAUGGACAAGU
rnacentral:rRNA from 1 species